UAUAUUUAUCUCUACGUAGAACUGUGUCACCAUACUGUACUACAAACAGCUGCUACGUUACUGCGCAUGCGCGGCACGUAUCCAGGACUCCACGCUGCCUUUCUGACGUAGCGUUCGGUGAGACAUAAUAAAGACAAGUUUAGAACGUCUCCUUCUACAAGCAGCUCUGAAAACCUGUUAGAGAGACUCUGGACCUGCUGGAUGAAGGAAGCUUUCCUGAUUUAUGGAGGAGUUUUAUUUUUCUCAGAUUGUAGAAGGAAACGUUUCUGGUAAGUGGAAUAUUAAGGAAACUAAAGAGAGGAAGGAGAGCAGCAGAAGACCUGCCUGCAGCUGUUACAAGACUGAAGAUCUACAGGAAUUACCAGAUAACGGACCUGCCUUGGACAUUUUCCUGGAAAAACCCUCAGAUGACUCCUAGAAGUGACUUGUCCAUGACAGUUUCAGACUGACGACCCUGAAUUUG